rnacentral:snRNA from 1 species
GAGGUCUCUUCAGCAGCACAUAUACAAAACUUCAAAUGAUACAUAGAUUAGCAUGACUCAUGCUCAAGGACAAUAUGCAAAACCAUGAAGCCCUCAUAUAUUUA